AUUGAACGCUGGCGGAAUGCUUUACACAUGCAAGUCGAGCGGCAGCACGGGGGCAACCCUGGUGGCGAGCGGCGAACGGGUGAGUAAUACGUCGGAACAUGCCCAGUCGUGGGGAAUAACACUUCGAAAGAAGUGCUAAUACCGCAUACGUCCUGAGGGAGAAAGCAGGGGACCUUCGGGCAUUGCGCUAUCAGAUACGCCUAGGUCGGAUUAGCUAGGUGGUGAGGUAAUGGAUCACCAAGGCGAGGAUCCGUAACUGGUCGGAGAGAAUGGUCAGUCACACUGGAACUGGGAGACGGUCCAGACUCCUACGGGAGGCAGCAGGGGGGAAUGUUGGACAAUGGGCGCAAGCCUGAUCCAGCCAUGCCGCGUGCAGGAUGACGGUCCUAUGGAUUGUAAACUGCUUUUGUACAGGAAGAAACACUGGUUCGUGAACCAGCUUGACGGUACUGUAGAAUAAGGAUCGGCUAACUCCGUGCCAGCCGCCGCCGUAAAAC
rnacentral:rRNA from 1 species